GACAGAGGAGCCAAGCGUUGUCCGGACUGACUGGGCGUAAAGCGCCCGCAGGCGGUCGUGCGCGUGGGGUGUGAAAGCGCUCGGCUUAACUGAGCGAGGCCAUCCCAUACGGCGCGACUCGAGCCGUCCAGAGGCCGGUGGAAUUCCCGGUGUAGUGGUGAAAUGCGUAGAUAUCGGGAGGAAUACCAGUGGCGAAGGCGGCUUCCUGGCCUGUUCUUGACGCUGAGGCGCGAAAGCUAGGGUAGCAAACGGG
rnacentral:rRNA from 1 species